AGCUGAAUUCUACCUCCCAGAAGCCUUACAUAAAACUUCCCCUCACAUCUCAUUGGCCACAACUAGCUCAUGCUAAGUAAGUGGCUUUGAAGAAGCAAGCUGCAAUAAAUCCUAUAGCUUCAAGAAAAUCAAUUCUCCUGACAAGCAGGAGCAGCUGCAGCAGCUGCACUUCCCUCUGGAGGAAACCAGCCUGGGAGAAGAAAGGCCCUAUAGAAUUAUCACG
rnacentral:lncRNA from 1 species